CAGCCGCCGCGGUAAUACGAAGGGUGCAAGCGUUAAUCGGAAUUACUGGGCGUAAAGCGUGCGUAGGCGGUGAGUUAAGUCUGCUGUGAAAUCCCCGGGCUCAACCUGGGAAUGGCAGUGGAUACUGGCUCGCUAGAGUGUGUCAGAGGAUGGUGGAAUUCCCGGUGUAGCGGUGAAAUGCGUAGAGAUCGGGAGGAACAUCAGUGGCGAAGGCGGCCAUCUGGGACAACACUGACGCUGAGGCACGAAAGCGUGGGGAGCAAACAGGAUUAGAUACCCCUGUAGUCCAUGUCGCUUAUAC
rnacentral:rRNA from 1 species